rnacentral:precursor_RNA from 12 species
UACUCUACUUACUCCAACUACCUGCAGCCCCACUUGGAUGAGGCGCACUAUUUUGUGAAUACUGCCAAAAUAAUGACCUUAUCCAAGGAGGCUGUUGGCAGAAGAACCAAACUACCACAA